rnacentral:rRNA from 1 species
GCAGUCGCCGCGGUAAUACAGAGGGUGCGAGCGUUAAUCGGAUUUACUGGGCGUAAAGCGUGCGUAGGCGGCUAAUUGAGUCGGAUGUGAAAUCCCCGAGCUUAACUUGGGAAUUGCAUUCGAUACUGGUUAGCUAGAGUGUGGGAGAGGAUGGUAGAAUUCCAGGUGUAGCGGUGAAAUGCGUAGAGAUCUGGAGGAAUACCGAUGGCGAAGGCAGCCAUCUGGCCUAACACUGACGCUGAGGUACGAAAGCAUGGGGAGCAAACAGGAUUAGAUACCCGUGUAGUCCCUGUCUCUUAUAC